UCUGGUCUUGGGACACUGUCAGGUGGGCAGUUUGACUGGGGCGGUCGCCUCCCAAAAGGGAACGGAGGCGCUCAAAGGUUCUCUCAGUACGGUCGGAAAUCGUACGUAGAGUGUAAAGGCAAAAGAGGGCUUGAUUGCAAGACAUACAGGUCGAGCAAGGAUGAAAAUCGGACUUAGUGAUCCGGUGGUUCUGCGUGGAAGGGCCAUCGCUCAACGGAUAAAAGCUACCCGGGGGAUAACAGGCUUAUCUCCCCC
rnacentral:rRNA from 1 species